AGUGAACGCUGGCGGUAGGCCUGACACAUGCAAGUCGAACGGCAGCACAGUAAGAGCUUGCUCUUACGGGUGGCGAGUGGCGGACGGGUGAGGAAUACAUCGGAAUCUACUUUUUCGUGGGGGAUAACGUAGGGAAACUUACGCUAAUACCGCAUACGACCUACGGGUGAAAGCAGGGGAUCUUCGGACCUUGCGCGAUUGAAUGAGCCGAUGUCGGAUUAGCUAGUUGGCGGGGUAAAGGCCCACCAAGGCGACGAUCCGUAGCUGGUCUGAGAGGAUGAUCAGCCACACUGGAACUGAGACACGGUCCAAACUCCUACGGGAGGCAGCAGUGGGGAAUAUUGGACAAUGGGCGCAAGCCUGAUCCAGCCAUACCGCGUGGGUGAAGAAGGCCUUCGGGUUGUAAAGCCCUUUUGUUGGGAAAGAAAAGCAGCAGGUUAAUACCCCGCUGUUCUGACGGUACCCAAAGAAUAAGCACCGGCUAACUUCGUG
rnacentral:rRNA from 1 species